rnacentral:lncRNA from 1 species
CAAGUCCAUCAAAAAUCAAGGAUCUAUUAUUUACGGAUGUUGCGUACUUCCAGAUGAUAGAUUGGUAUUUACUUACUACUUUGCCAAACAAUUAAAAGUUUUCAGCAAUAAAGGAUCAAAAGACUUUGAGGUGAAGAUGCCGUGUUGUCCGUUUGAUAUAGUAUACAUUAGAGAAGACAAUACAUUGGCUGUAUCAUCUGAUAGUCCACGUACCAUUACCAUAAUAAACCUGGAGACAAAACAAAUAAUGAAAUCAAUUGCAUUGGAUUCUGAAUAUUUAUGGCAUAGCACUGAAAGAUAAUCAAUUGAUUUAUUCGGGUCAGAGACAAAGGAAUACGAAUGAUCGAUUUAAACGACGAGUCUAUAAGUGACAUAGUCCGAGAAGCAAUGGCCAGUUGUGUGCUACACUGCAACUUUUAGGGACAAUAUAUAUCAUACAAAACAAUAAAAACACUGUUACCUGUUAUAACCUACAAGGUAAAAUCAAUGGACAUUUCAUAACGAAAGCGUUCUAAGAGUCCUCGUGGUAUUGAUGUAGAUAAUGAUGGUAAUGUGUACGUGGUGGGAUACAAUCGAACAAUGUUGUAAUUAUCUCCCCUGAUGGACAACGGCAAAGAGAAAUAUUGACAGCCAGUGAUGGACUUAGUUGUCCUAUGUCACUUCAUUAUAGUGGAUCAAACGAAUCAGUUGCUAGUCGCGAACUACAACAAUAGCAAAGCUUUUUUGUUAAAUUGUACUUGAAGAAAAAAAUAACAGUGUGAAGUGCUGUCUCUUUGAAUCAUUAUAUGAAAUAAUUAUAGACAAUAGACAAUAUCUAUUUGCACAAUUAUAUUGACAUUAAAGGUUAAGGUAAUGCACUUAACACAUUAUAAAUUCCACAAUGAACUGUAUGUAACAACUAACCAUAGUUUCUUAUAAAAUAAUGGUGAUGUUUUAAGUAAAGUAUAUUAAAAAAUCCUUGUCAGGAUUAAAGCGAUUUAUUGUGUUGUAUGGAUAGGCAUGCAUUUACAAAGUUCGAAAUUAAUAAUUGAUUAUACAAAAAACCUAUGUUUUGGCUCACCUGGUCCGGACGGCCAUGUGAUCUUUUCUAAUCACUAUCGCCAGCAUCGUCUUUCCUUAUAAUUUACCGUCAGUAAGCUGGAUACCAUAACUCCACAAAACUACUUAAAAAGAACUAUAUUUUUUUUACGGAGAUAAUCCCGAAAAUUAAGAAACUAUCAUAGUAAACUUAUCGAUCCUUUAAAUAAACUUAUUCUUAUAGGUUAUCAAUUCGACACUGUUAUUAGAUUUUUUGAAUAUUGUCUUUAUAUAUACUAAUAUUGAUUUUUUGUCAGUUUAUCAAAAAACAAAACUACAUAUUAUUGUUAUAUACAUUUGCACUGUCAUGGAUCUACAAACUGUCGAUACCUGUAUCUUGGCAAUGCACCAGGUCGUAAUUUCUGCUGACCGUUUAUUGCGUCUUUACACUAAAUCCAUUGGAUAUUGGAUGUAUACUGAUUGAUGAUUAAGACUUAAUUACCUGAUUUUUUUAUUAGUAGUUUUUGGCUUUGAACUAGCUGUCAGUUACUGCAAGUACUCUCAAAUCGUACUUUCUUGUUAAUUUGACCAGUUGAUACUAUGUGUAAUGCUUCUUUGUUAUUUAAUAGAUAUAAGAAGAUGUGGUGUGAGUGUUAAUGUCCAUUUAUUCAGGUUUAUAUCUGGUCUAUAUACCAGCUUUGCUAAGUGUUUGGUAUUACUAUGAUUUUUCACUUCGAUCUUCAUACUAUGAACAUCAAAAAUAUUUAUUUGUAAAAUAUGUUUCCUUUCUCUUAUAAAAAUGUACUCUCAGAUCUGUGCUUAGUAUCUUUUUGUCGAACCGAUGUAUAAGAACCCGGCCACGUCCACUCUGUUUUUGUUAUAUAUAUUUCUAGUUACGUGUCCAUCUGAUGAAUUAAGCCUUUUAUAAAUGAUUUCUAUAGUUCGUUAUUGUGUUGUACUGUUCCACCAAUGUCACAGUUUAGGGGACGGUUGGGAUCCCGAUAACAUGUUUCAACCCACCUCAUGAUGAAUGUAUAUACCUGUUUCAAGUCAGGAGCCUGUACUUAAGUGGUUGUCGUUUGAUGCUGUGGUUUCCGCUAUUUUUUGUACAUCAAUAAGGCCGUUAGAUUUCGUCUUUACAUUCGUCAUUUCGGGGUCUUUUAUGGCUAACUAUACGAUAUGCUCAUAGUUGAAGGACGUAUGGGGACCUAAAGUUGUUAAUUGCUGUCUAAUUUGAUCUUUUGUGAAGUAGUGUCUUGUUGGUAACCAUACCACAUCUUCUUUUUUUUUAUAUAGCUUGAUCAUCAAGAUGUUAAAACUGAAUAUAUUUCUAAAGUGUUAACUAUUAUUUUCUUCUACAGUAAAAGAUGAUUUUUAGAAAAUAUUGAGAUGAUAUGUAUCUUCAAUCAGAAGCGUUGGUCAUAUGUGGAUUCUUAAAAAUUGUAUAGAUCUACUGCUAAAUCGUGGAUCACAAUGUCUGCAAUUUAGCAGCAACAUUAAGACCUUUUUGAUUUUUCUUCAUUUAACCCUUGCUAUUCCUUAUGCUCAAUUGAAAUAUUGACUUCACGAUCUCGAAAUCGAAAAAGAAAUAAAAAAGACCAGAAUGAAGAUCGACAGUCAUCUCGACAAACUACAAAAGGAAUGAAUGAAACAAUUGAAUGCGAUAGAAAAAAAAACUUUGAAAAUUUGUCAGUUAUUGUCAACAAUAAAUAUAAAGGAAAAUGAAAUAUCAGAAUGUCAGAGAAAAGUUAUGAACACGCAACGGACCUUCAAGUGCUCUUUCAAUGAAACAAAUAGAGGAGGACGUCUAUAGCAAACAUAAAGUCCUGCAGUCGCUUGAACAUGUUGAAGAAAGCAAGAGUUUCAAGCAAACUAUUCUUUCAUAUAAGACCCACGACUCUAUCCAAAAUAUCAUGUCCGAUAUCAAGUGUGUAUUGAAUCUAAAUUUUGCGAUAUUGUUCUGAAUAGCAAUAUAUUGUUGGAGUUGAACAUCAUUAGGGACGACAUCAAAAGUUCAAUGAAGGAUAAAAAACUUAAUUCACAUAGUUUUUUAACUGACCCCCCCCCCCCCCUCUUAACUUAAUUUGGGAAAAAUUGAUUGACCAAUAGGGAUAUAUGUAAAAUCGAUUUUGGAAUAACAAAACUUGCAGUAAUGUUGACCCCCCCCUAACCCCCAAACUAUUUGAUUUAAGUUUUUUAUCCUACAUCGAUCUUUUGAUGUCGUCCCUUAGUAUAUAAAGAGGUGGUGGCGAUGUAUACUAUUUGUGCACGUUUGUUCUCAGUUUUGAAGAAUGUUUCAUCUGAUGUUGAACAAAAUCUAGAAUAGAAUGUCAUGACACAUGAACUCUAUUUGUAUUCAACACGAAACAUUGGAAAUGAUUACAUUUGGCAUUUUCUCUAGUUUUUUUUAACCUCAUGAAUUUUAUAUUUCAAGUAACAAUACAUAUGUUGUCUGAUUAUAAUGGCUUGUAAAUCUUUAUGAUGAUGACCACGAAUGCCUGGUUAACGUCUAGCGUCCAUACAGUCUCAGGACGUAAACAUGUCAAUAAGAUAUGAAUAUAACUUCCGAUUUGUACAAGACCAACACGUUGAGCACAAGCAAGUUCAAAAUAUAAAAAAACCCACAGGAAGACAUGCAACCAUACCCGAACAAAUUAUUGGCAGAGAAGUGGAAAAUAACUAUUGUCAAGUCUGCUUUAACUAAGUCGGUUGUCGAACCCAAGACCUCCCGUACUUGAGGCAAGCUCGCUACCAUUUGAACAUCGAGGCGGUAACUAUAUAAUGAACCAUUCACAAAUUCAGUUAUGCUUAAUUUCUCGGUGAUCGUAUUUGCUAAUGACGGUAUCUCUCUAUCUCUUACACUUAACAGAAAAUAGCCCAAAACGCAAAAUAUCAUAUUUUUUUCAUAAUAAAAAAGACAGAAGAAGCUAUAGGUGUAUUUGUGUACUAAAUAAUAUGACACACAUUUAUGUUAUUCAAAACGGAGUGGGGCUGAAUGUCUUCCAGACAUAGCUAUAUUUAGUUACUAGUACCUACAAGACAGUGCAAAACAACCCCAUAUGUGAUUUCAUACCCUUCCGAAGGGUAAUGAGACCCUGUUCAACGUGUCGUAACGUAGUGAUACUAAAAAAGAAGUUGAUUCAUAAUCAUGGUACUGUUGCCUUACAUUGUCUUACAAUUAGAUCUUUUUUCCCACUUUAUCUGUUUACUAUUUCUCUCUAUCUCUUACACUAACUAGAAACAGUGAAGUGUUCAUGUUAAUAGUCCAUUUGCCAACUUCCGUUAUUGACCCUGUUUUAAGAGAUCCCUUUUUGAAUUUGUCUCCCUAACAGGGACAUUAAUUUUUAUUUACAAUGGAGAGCUAGCAGAAAAAGAAAAUUUACCUGUGCGUAAUGUGAGAAAUCUUUCAGGUUUUCAAAUCUUUUAUUUACAUUAAUUUGUUUUUCAGCUUAAUACUUUUGACAUCAGAAAUAAUUUUUUCAUGAAAAAUUAGUUAACCCGCCGUUACAUCACUUUCAAUUCAUCAUGUUUUGCAUUGGCAAUAGCCAAUUUUGUCCGGUAUAGAACCAGUCUACAAUUGACAAAGGGAGGUAAUUCGUUUAAAAUGUGUGUACUAACAGAUUGUACAUUUGUUUGUCUUAUUUUACUGCAUAUUCAAUACAUCUUACAGUUAUCUCUUUAUACCAUACGGUUUUCGCCUAAACACUAAAAUGUGUAAAGAUCGUUAAGGAAUGAAAAUAAUGACUUACUUGUUGUACUAACUAAAUAAAUGUUGCUGCUUACAGCAUAUAUGUUCUCUUUUUUAAGAUAACAAGCAAACAUACAAAAAUGGUAAAAACAUCUUUCAGAGCAAUGACUCAUAAGAGAAGUAAUUUGAUAAUUUUCGUCUUAAACGUUUUCUGUAGAUAGAUAUAGGAAAAUUUGGUAUAAGUGCCUAUGCGACAACUCUCCAUCCAAGUUAAAAUUUAUAAAAGUAAACCAUUAAAGGUCAAGGUACGGUAUCCAACACGGAGCCUUGACUCAUACCGAAUAGCAAUCUAUAAAGGGCCCCAAAAAAUUACUAGUGUAAAACCGUUCAAAUAGGAAAACCAACGGUCUAAUCUAUAUAAAAAAAACGAGAAACGAGGAACACUUAUAAAACCACUGAACGGCUCCUGAAUUGGGUCAGGCGCAAAAAAGUGCAGCGGGGUUGAACGUUUAAAUAGGUGCCAACCUUCACUCUAAACUAAAACAAUUGUGAAUCUUAGCAACAUGAAAAUACACACUAUAAGAACGAAUUGAUUUUAUCUAUGACACAAUGUAAAUACAAAAUGGUAACAAAAAUAGAUGGGGUAGAUGUAAAACAGUACCAGUUAGACAACCAUUAUCUCGGACAAAAUGCCGCAAAAUAUGAAAUAUACACAAGUAAUUUUGUUGAAAGGCACGAGAACAUAAGUGAAAAUUUAUCGGUAUACCAAACACUUAUGAAAUGCCAAUUUUGAAGUUGAAAAUACUGCAUUCAUCUCAGAAGGGAAUUUUUACCGGUGUUUUGUGUUUAAAGCUUAACCUUAAAUUAGAAAAUUUAAAUAACAUAUAUGCAUUAAAAAAAAUUCUUUAAAAUCUGUGCAUAUAAAAAAUUAAUUGCUGUGUAUUUGAAAAUGUCGGAAAUGACAUUCACCUGUUCAGCAGGAAAUGCUUCUGCGCUUCAUAUAUAAUAUAAUGAUCGCUUACUUUUGUGAGCUUAUGUAUGCAACCAUGAUGGCAAGGUUGUUUGUUAAUGGCCAGGUUGAGACAGAACUGAUGGCAUAGAUGUGCAUGAAAAAUUUGGAACGAUGGCAGAGUUUCAAAUAUGGCCUCGAUUUUAUCGGGUAACAAUCUUUUUUGUCAUCCCAUGUGGUAUUUAUAUAUUACCUGAUCAAAAUAGACGACCUUUGAAUUCGGGCAUUUUCAUGUGCAUUACAUUACAAAUAUCACACUGCUUAUGUUUUAAUGCACAAUAUUAUGCCGCAUUGUAUCAACAUGAAUAAAGGCUCCUGAAUAGCGAAGAAAGAUUUGAAUUAAAAAAAUGAGCAUUUAUUCAACUGCCAGUAUUGAAGGUAAUACCAAUUAUUAGGGCUGUAUGCGACAAACGUCAACUACUGACUGGAAACUCCUGGCAUGGAACACGCACAUUAAAAAUGUUGUGGUGUAAUAUUGAGUACGGCAAACUGGUAUGAUUGCCAACGAGACAACUGUCAAUCAUAGACCAUAUGGUAUGAUGUAAGCCUUUAACAAUGAACUUGCAAGUCAUCGGUUGACGUUUGUUACAACACCAUGCAAGUUAUUGUUCUUAAACUGAUUUGUUUAACACAUAUAGGUCAGUUGUUCUUUUAUUUCCAUAUUUACUAUUGGUCUUUAAUAAUGUUUAUUUGAUGCAGCAUAGUACCAUACAGUAUAGGGUUUUACUUAUCAUUUACAGCUAAACAGAGACCUACUGUUUAUACAUUUUUGAUCUUUGUUUCAAUUGUGGGUAGCAACUUUUCUGAAAUCAUACUACAUCUCUUUAUUUUUAUAUUGUAUGUAUAUUGUAAAAACGAAUAGCUACUGGUCAAUUUUCCAAAUCCGAUUUUUUUUUCUAUGGAUGAGUUACGCCAGUUGACGGAAUAUCAAUCGAAGUAAACAAGGUCAAUGAAAAAUCGACUCUUACUGUACAUAAUAUUACAAUCUUUGUGACAUACGAAAUGUACGGAAAUUGCAUGCCCAAUUGUCAUCGUCGUUAUAUUGAUCAAUUAAGAUACGUUGUUGCUUAAAACAGAGAAUAUUGAAAAUGUGAGGUUCUGUUUUGUUUUAUUGCGAGUACAAAUGGACAUAAUAUUUAAAAUCAAUGAUAUAACAACGUCGUUUUCGUCUCAUCAGAUUAUAAAAACAGUCACGUGAUUAAUAAGCUCAAACACAUCAAACGAAUGGAUAGCAACUGCCAUAUUCCUGACUCGGCACAGGCAAUUAUUCCUUUAGAAAAUGGUGGAUUUAGAUCUGGUUUUAUGGACAACGAUAUGUGAACGAAAAAAAAGACAUCAUAGAAUAAAAAGAUAAAAAUUUUAAAAUUGGGGGACAACAGUCAAUAGUGUGAUAUACUUUUAAUCAGUUAAAAAGAAAACAAAAACAAAAUAAAGUAUGUAACAAAGAAACACAAGAAGGCAUAUAGACAAAACAAACAAACAAAAAUGAACCGCAACUCUCUAUCUUUAAUGUAUACACAUAUAACAAGUCAAAAUAACUAAUUGAGGUUUGAUUAAUUUCCCUUCUCCUUUUAACAUAAACAAAACAGGAAAUCUAACUUGAUUUUUUAUAUCAAUUGUUUUAUCAUGUUUUCAACGUCUACUUUACCAAGAUUAUUUGACAAUUGAUUUAUUGUAAACCAUAACUCUCUAUCUUUAUUGUGUACAAAUAUUACAAGUCAUAAAAACUAUCACAGGUUUGGAUUUAUUCUCCGUCUUAUUAAAAGAUAAACAAAAAAGAACAUUUUAUUUGAUUCUAGUUUGAAAUGCUUUAUUACGUCUUUCAACGUCUACUUUACCAAGAUUAUAGUACAUUUAUUUAUGAUGAACCGUAACUCUCUAUCUUUAUUAUGUACAAAUAAGAAAGAAAUACAAACAGGAAAAACUAAUACAGAUUUGAACUUAUUUCUUUCUCGUUUAACGAACAUCUGGGAACUUGAUUUAAUGCAUAAAAUGUUAUACAAUUUUUUAUUUGUCUCCUUUACCAAGAUUUUGGUUUUUGAAUAUCAUAGUCCUGCUAAAUUAUAAUUUGACAUGCAAUUACGUUUAUAAUUGUAACAAAAUAUAACUAAUCUUUUCAAUCGAUCAAUGGAAAUCAAUGGCUCAUCAAUCAAAUCAAAAUUAAUUAUCUUUACCUCAUACGAUAAAUAACAGUGUAAAACAGUCGUCGUCUUUUAAACCAUAAGAUGAUGAACUUUAUAUUUUAAGCAAAUCGAAAUGAGUUUCUUACCUAUGUUCCAAUUUGCCACUAUAUUUCCUAUUAGGCUAAAAUAGCCAUCCAAUUUAACAAUUUUAAUAUUUGACACUCGAUCAGAUGGAAAACAAGUUACAACGAAUACAAUUUAUUUUGAUUUUUGGCAAUUAGAUAGCCGCUUAAUGAGAUCAGUAAGAACAAUAUCCAUUUUAGAAACUGUGAAAGAGGUGGUUCAAAAAAUUGUUUGUAUAAAACAGGCGACAAAUAUCAGUGUGUGCACUUUUGUUUUCAGUUUAGAAAAUGUAACAUUGAAUAAUUUAUCUAAUGUUGAACAAAAUCUAGAAUAAAGUGUCGUGACACAUGAAAACUAUUUGUAUUCAAGACGAAAUGUUGGAAAUGCUAGUUAAAUUUAACAUUUCCCCCUGUUUCCUAACCUAAUGAAUUUGUUAUUUCAAGUAACUAUUCAUAUGUUGUCUGAUUAUGGCUGGUAAAUCCUAAUGAUGAUGACUACGAAUGACUGGUUAACGUCCAGCGGCAGGUUAAAUUCUUACUCCGGACAAACAUGUUAAUGUCAUAUGAAUAAUACCCCCGAUUUCUACAAGACCAACACGCUGAGCACGAUUUCAAGCGUGCUAGUACACAAUGUAAAAAACCCACAGGAAGACAUGCCACAAUAUCCGAACAAAUUAUUCUAAAUGAAACAACAAGGUCGCGUGCUUAGUUUGGCAGAGAAGUGGAAAAUAACUAUUGUCAAGUCUGCUUUAACUAGGUCGGAUGUCGAACCCUAGACCUCCCGUACUUGAUUCAAGCUCGCUACCAUUAGAACAUCGAGGAAAUAACGUAUAUAAUGGACCGAUUCAUAAAUUCAGUUAUGUUUAACUUCUUGGUGAUCGUAUUUGCUGUUGAUGGUAUCUCCCUAUCUCUUAUACUUUUUAAGAUAUAAGCAAAAAUUUUAAGAAUAUUGAUAUUAUCUGUUCAUAGAAAGGGACAAAUGUAUUUUUGUAGAAAAUAUAUAAUGGAGUAUGUACUUUUGUUAUUCAAAAUAUAUAACAAGGGUAUGGUACUGUGUGUCUACACUACAUAGAUACCUGAAGACUUGGCAAAACAACAUCACGUGUAAUUGCAUGUGCUGAAGAAAGAUAAUCAGAUCCUGUUCAACGUGUGGUAACCCAGCGACAACUCCUAUAAGAAGUUGUUUACAAUGUUUCUAAUGCUAUGUUAUAACUAGAUAUUUUUUAUUCACCUUUUCUGUUUCCAAUUAACUCUAUAUACAUGUGUAUUCCACUGACUAGAACAUUAAAGUUUUCAUGAUACUUGCAUAUGAAUCAAAAUGUGUGAACCUUGUCAUUUAAAGGUAAUAACUCCUUGAAAGAGUCAAUUGUCGACUUUAGUCAGAAGGCUUUAUUGUAGAUUUUAUUUUACUGCAUCCAUUUUGCAGCUUACAGUUUCUUGCUAUCUGCCAUAUAAUUGUUGCCAAAUACAAAAAUGUGUAAAAUCGUUAUUGAAGUAUAUAAACGACUUACUUCUUAACCUAGCUUUAAUGAUAAGUUUUGCUGCCUAAAGUUUCUCUCUCUAUAUAUUAUAGUUUUAUAGAAGAGGGACGAAAGAUACCAAAGGGACAGUCAAACUCAUAAAUCUAAAACAAACUGAAAACGCCAUGGCUAAAAAUGAAAAAAGACAAACAGAAAAACAAUAGUACACAUGACACAACAUAGAAAACUAAAGAAUAAACAACACGAACCCCACCAAAAACUAGGUAUCUCAGUCUCGAAUAAGCAUCCUGCUCCACAUGUGGCACCCGUCGUGUUGCUUAUGUGAUUACAAAUCCGGUAAAUAGUCUAAUUCGGUAGGUCACAAUCAUGAAAGAUAGCAAAAAUAAAUAUAGGUUUGCUUUUUAGUUUUUGCGUUAGUUCGUUUUUGGUUAAAAUCAAAAUAUAAGGACAACAACUUCGAAACGUAAGAAAAUGGAUAAUAAUUUCAUUUAUUUCCUUAUAGAUCCUGUCUGGGUUGAUAAUUUUUGCAGUUUAAAUAAGAUGACUAAUACUAUUUGUUAUUGUAGUGUAAAUUGAACUACAUUUGUUGUUAUUCCCAAGAUUAUAGCUAAACAUUGGUAAAAAUAUUGAUUUAAGGUCGAUAUCUCCUACAAUAUGUACAAGUAAUCGACUGGCUAUUUAGUUUUUUUAGUCGAAGUUGAUGAGACAAAUGAUCAACUGCAAUUUUGUUGACUAUUUUAAUAUUUUUGUUUUCUUUAUGCAAAUUGGAUUCUGCUUGCUAAAAGGAGUAGGUUCAGUAAGACCCCUUUUUGGCCCCAAAAUAUAGCAGUUUUACAAAGUUGUUGAAAUGUAAACUUUUAGUUAUUUAUUGGACAGUAGAAUGCUUCUGCUACAUGAAUAUGGGCUGUUUUUGACAUAACAAUGCACAUAUAUCGGGUACUAGCACCAUAAAGUCAUGCUUAUUUACUGAAAUCUUCACAAUUCUAGCAUUUUAGUUAAAUUUUGGACAGUUUUCAGGUCAAACGAAAGUGGCCGCAUUCGUGUUCAUCCUUAAUAUUGAAAUGUAAGUUGUAGUUUAUGAUAAUACAUAAUAUAUAUAAAGGUUGAGGAUGAACACGGAUGCGGCCACUUUCGUUUUUGACAAAAACCAUCUGAAAAGUGACAUUUUUCGGCAUAUUUGGUAAAUUUUUCAUAUUUGAGCUUGAAUCGGAGCGUUUUUAAUGACUAAAUCAGUAAAAAUCUUUCACAUAAACUAAUUGAUUCAAAUGAAAUAGACACUUAAGUGUUUAAAAAGUGGUCAAAAUCUUUCGUCAAAUGAACCUGAAAUUUGAGGCCAAAAUCGGUCCUUACCGGACCUACUCCUUUCUCUUCUGUUCACUUCGUGAUGUUUUUUAAUUGUUGACAAUUAGUUAACAGAUAAAGGAAACAGUAGUAUACCGCUGUUCGAAAGUCAUUAAUUGAGAAAACAAAUCCGGGUUACAAUCUAAAAUUGAGGAACACAUCAACUAUAAGAGGAAAACAACGAAACAACAGAAACACUGAAGUGCAACAAAAAGCAAACGACAAGGCAAAACACACAGAAAUACACAAUGAGAUAACAACUGCCAUUUUUCUGACUUGGUACAGGACAUUUUAAGACAAAAUGGUGGAUUGAAUCUGGUUUUGUGGCUAGCCAAACCUCGCGUUUUAUGGCAAUUUUAGAUAUAACACUAAAAUGACAAAAUUACAUGACAGAAAUACAGUACAAAUAAAUGCAAGAACAUUAAGGACAAAGAAGUACACAAAUGGACAAUUAAAUAAUACAUUUCGAUAUGCUGACAACAGAAUAAAAACAAACACGUAAAACAACCUAGGACAGCACACAUAAACAGCUCAACAGAACCAUGAACUGGUCGUUAAAAAGUGACGUCACAGGUAAAUUUGUAAAAAAUUGAUAUAAAACAAGAUUAUGUUUGUAAUUAUGUUAUUUGAUGUAUUUUAUAACAAUUACAAAUCUAUUAAUAUAGAAUUGUGUUAGUUAUUAUAUAAUUAAUUUUAUUAUCUAGCUAUGUCGGCAUUUCUUCUAAAUAAAACUGUAACACAAAUAAAUCGUGUACAUAUAGUUGCUUUAAUUUAAAAUCAUAUACAUCAAUUGGGUAAAUAAUUAUCUUAACUUUUACAUACUAAUACAAAAUCUAAAAAAUAGAAUCACAACUAUCAACUAUACUUGCUUGUAGAUCUUUUCAAGCUAUUACAUUUUUCUAUUAUUUUUUUCUAAUUUUUCUUCCUAAACUCUAUUUAUCAAGAUAAUAACAAAACAACACUGUUCACAUGGUAAGAAUGAAAUAUCUUAGUGGCAUUAACACCCAAAUUGAAUUGUAUGAUACAUAAGUCAAAUUUCACGGUGAUAAAACCUGUCAGAUUUAAUCACUUUAAAUAGCGUUAAAAAAGGUAACGUGUGUUUUGCCAGUAAAACUUAUAAUUUGCCGUCUCUUAAAAAAUAAAUAAACAGAUGUUUUAUUUUACAAAACUCGAAAGAAAGUAAAACAAAUUCUAUAAUAGGUAGGUAUAUUUCUUAAUACACACCUAUCGUUAGUGUGUAGAUAAUAUUUAAUCAGUUUCGAAAACAGUCAUGUGAUUGAUAACCUACCUAGUAAACCAGACGGUAGUGUAUCUAGUUCAAAUCGAAAGGUAAUUUUAAGAUUUUUAUUGAUAUUUAUAAUAUCAUUUCUUUUUUAGUUACGUCAAUCUCCAUGAUAAGUAUGACCUAAAUACAUGAAUUUAGUAUUUUUUUCAUUAUUUCAACUUUCAUUCUGAGCUUGGACAUUACACAUAUGAUGAGUAUCGUUGGUAGGGCAAUGGGUUGUUGUCGAGCCUGUGACUUUUUUUCGCAGAAAGCUCGACAUAGAAAUAGGAAUAGUGAUCCGGCUUAAAAGCUUUAUAUUUUAGAAGGUGGAAGACAUGGAUGCUUCAUACUUUGUAUAUAGAUGUCUCAUAUUACGAAGUUUCCGUCUGUCAGAUGUCCAUUGACCUUGACAUAAUUUUAAUGGUUCGGUGACUACUUGUAUUUAAGAUUUUUUCUAAUAUUAAAUUCUUUCUUAUUAUGUGUAAUAACAUAACUAUAUUUGGUAUGUGCGUACCUUGCAAGGUCUGCAUGCCCGUCAGACAGUUUUCACCACACCUCGACCUGAUAAAAUGGAUCAGUGUACAAGGUUAAAGACCAAACAGCCUAUUCAUUUCUAUCAGUGAUUUUUCCUUCAAAUUUUGUGUGAAGGUGUUGCAUGAUUUGAGGAAUAAAAUAUGAUGAAAAAAAUUGGGGGUCACCGACUUAGUUUUGUCACUAUAGCAACCUCAGUUUCGCGUUUUCCCGAAUAUUAACAUAAUAUUUGCUUGUUAUCUAAACCUCAAAAAACAUGCUUUAUAUCAAACCUAGAAGCAUAAUUCUUGUUUCACGUUAAACAGUAGAUUAAUAUAUUUCAAAUACAGGAUCAAGAGUGUAAGACUCAUAUUGAUUUGAUCUUUAAAAAUGUGAUUUAAUUCAUUCCCGCCAAAAAUUAUGCGUAAAACUGAAAAACGUUUCCAGUAUUAAAAAAUAUCUACCAGUGAUUUCUUCAUAAAAAUUUAAAGAAGAAAAGUGCCAUAUGUACUCUUCAAAAUAAAGGAAAAAAAAGUGUAUGUCACCGACCUUUCAAAAAAGUUAUGAGUAAUUUUUAUGUUCUUUUCUCGUUCGUUUUGAUGAAAAGAGUUGUCUUUCUUCAGUACAUUGCAUCUGACGUCAUAGUAUACGAACUUUCCUUGCUGGCGCACUAUUUGAAAAAAGAAAUCGUAAAUUGGACACCGUUUGAAACCCACAUUUAAAUUUCCAAGAAUAACAACUAUAUUCACCUACUUUAUUAUCCGGUAAUACUAGAGAUUAAGCAUGUAUCAGUUUCAGAUCUUUAUGAUGUUGUUGCCGCACAAUAUAAACCUUCAGAAACACCAUCCGUCGGAAAGGAAAAUUGUUUGAAAUAACCUUUCACGCCACUUGUAUAUUGAAAGUCUGUUUUUGUCCUCUGUCCCACAUAAGCAAAAUUAUUGAAAAUAAAAAAAAAGAAAUAAAAGAUGGCACUGGUUAACUUACAGAGUUUGCCGUAACAAACUUAUUCGGUACUGUUGAGAGACGGACAUACAAAAGCAUGGACGGAGUUCUUUAUACCAUUAUUUUUCCCGACUAAGACGAACGUUCAGCAAUUAUUGCAUCGAGUUUGUGAAUUCAUUAUUUUGAAUAUUUUUAAGAUUUUAGGAAAUUAAAAUUAUAGGUAUAAUAUAUGAAUUAAAGUUUUGAUUCUAAAACGUUAUACAUCUAUCUUAAAAUACAAUCCUUUUAUUACUACCUAAUGUGUUUUCAAUAAACGAGACAGUAAAUAUAAAAUACAAAAAGUUUUGGAUUCAAAAAUUAAUAUUUAGAAAUAAUUUUCCGUUGGAAACUACAAAGUAAGAUUUCUCCAACAGGAUAAAAUAAAUAAUCUAAAUUGCUCAUUUUGGAAAUUAAAACAAAGAAAAGGUUGUUGCCGGCAUUGAAAAUCGAAAUUUGUUUUCAAUCUUUCCAGUCACAGUUGUAGCUAAAUGAAAGGGAGCGAUUUUAUGUAAGAUAUUAUUUUUGGAGCAAUUGUUUUUGUCAUAUUAAAUUAAAUUUACAACAAUUUAGUUUUAAAGACCAAACAUUUUGAUUUUAAUUCACAUUCGCUGAGUAUUAGUUUUAUUAAUAUUUUUGCCCUACAGCUAAUUUCCUAAUGCAUGUAGGGUAAAACUUUGGUGGGCUUCCUUGCUUUGUUUGUAUUAAUGUUUACUCAAGCUCUGUAAUUAAGAUUAACAUCUUUAUAUAUAGGUAUGCAAACCUGUAUAUAUGCUAUUUAAUUGAAUUGGACGUUAUCAAAAUAUAAUUAUACAAAAUAUACAAACAAAGCAAGCAGGCAAACCAAAGUCGUCAUUUAUUUUUACGAUAAGAUUUUGUCAAAUAAGCAGUAUAAAUAAAUUUUAACUUCAUUGCAAGAUCGGACAUUAUUUUACGAGAAUCAUCCAGACAUCAGGUACAUGUACAUGUUGCCAGUAUGUCAAAACUUUUCGGAAUAAUUGAUUAUCGGCCUAACCUUGUGAAUAAUCAUUUUUUUAUUGAUUUUUUUAAAUUGACACUCAAAUUAGAAGGAUCAUUGCAUAAUGAACAUGUAUACUAAGUUUUAAGUUGACUUCAACUUCGUCAAAAACUACCUUGACCAAAAACUGUAACCAAAAACUUUAACCUGAAGCGGGACAGACGAACGAACGGACACACUGACCAGAAAACAUAAUGCCCAUAAAUCGGGCAUAAAAUUAACUUUCACCUAACCUGUACACUAUCGGCGCAAACGAAAGACAAAAUCUACGCAAGUGAGAAGAAAAAAAUGAAAUGCAGAUCGACGCAAAUAUAAGACAAAAUCUACGCAUGUGAAAGAAUAAAAAAAAAUGAAAUGUAGAAAGGCACAAAUGUAAAAAGUCGAGAUCAAAAUUUAUAUUUUAUUAUUUUUAUUAGAGCGAAGGUUAAAUAUAGUGUAGUAUCUUAUGUGUCCAUUUGUGUUAAAUUUCCACAGGAUUUUAAAGUAGCGCGACACAUAAUAGUUCCUAUUUUCUUGGGAGACGUAACGUACCUACAUAGCGUACACCAUGUUGGAAUCCGUGAAAAACGCGAAAAUAGGACGUUAUAAUUUGACGUUUUUUCAUUGCUAGAAGCAACGUCAUAGAGCUUUUAUGUCACUAACAAGAUGCGUUAGCUGAUGCGCAUAAACAAUAGGCUGUUUGGUCUUUAAGUUUUGGUGGUUAAGUCCAUUUCUCAGAUACUAUAAGCAAUAGGUCUAGUAUAUUCGGUGUAUGGAAGGACUGUAAAGUGUACAUGUCAAAUUGGCAGGUGUCAUCUGACCUUGACCUCAUUCACAUUGUUGAGUGGUCAAAGUUAAGUUUUUGAGUUUUGGUCUUUUUUAAUUCUAUAUGCAGUUUGUCAACUAUAUUUGGUGUAUGGAAAUAUUUUAUAAUGAACAUGUUAGUCUAGCCGGUUUUAUUUGACAUUGCUCAGUGUUAAGUUUUUGUGUUUUGCUCUGUUUUUCUGAAAUUAUAAGCAAUAGAUCAACUCUAUUUGUUGUAUGGAAGAAUUGUAAGCUGUACAUGUCCGACUGACAUGUGUCAUCUGACCUUGACCUCAUUUCAUGAUUCGUUGGUCAAUGUUUAGUGUUCUUGGUUAAGUCUGUUUCUUAGAAACUGUAAGCAAUCGGUCAACCAUAUUCUGUGUAUUUAAUGAUUGUUUUUUGUCCAUGGAUUUAUGAGUUUUGAACAGCGGUAUACUACUGUUGCCUUUAUUAACCAUUUGACCAAGGAAGAUAAUUAAAAACUGGUGCACGUUUAAUGACUUUAUGCAAAGGGAUCAUUGGACAAAACACAAAAAAAACCCACCAUCAUAACGUAAGAAAGAAGUUCAAAUCACGUAAGAAGAACUAUUCAACAUUUCCUUUUUUGUGAAACAAAAAUUAAUUAUAAACUGUUUUAACAUAACUGGCUACAAAAUAAUGUCAAGAACUGUAACUCUCUAUCUUUAUUGUCUACAAAUAGAACAAGUUGUUUUAUCUAAUACAGGUUUCAUGUUAUCCUCGUAAAAAAUAAACAUAAAUCAAACUUAUUUGAAGCAUAACAUGUUUUAAUAAUUCAUGUAUUAGUCUACUUUACCAAGUUUAUUUUUGAAUACCGUAGUCCUGAUACAUUGUAAUGUGACAUGCUAUUAAAUUUGGUGGUGAACUACGUUGAUAAGUAUAUCUAUUUGUCUGAUUAAUUAACAAUAAAUAUAUUAACGAUAUUGCAAUUAAGAAAUAAUUGAGGCAAGCUAUACUUUAUUGUAGUUUUAACAUGGGUAGGCAUUAUAUUCGUGACGGAGCUCUUCCAUGAGUCGGUCUUUUUUGUUUGUAAACAAGCAAACGACAUGCAAUGUGAUCUUUCAUAGAGAGGAGUUUUGAACAACCAGCAUACACGGUUUUUGUAUCUAGGUCAAAUAUGUCAAUUUCGAAUUGCAAUACAUUACAGUGAUAAUAAAUGAAUAAUUAACAACAUGUGCAUCAUGUACAUUUAAGAGUGUGGAAGUGUUUUAAGCUAACGAAAUAUAUCAAAUGCAUGCCAAUUUGAUAAAAUUCAUUAUUCUGCAGUAGUCAAUUUACGCUAGUGCAAACAAAUUUUAUUGGAUUUAGAGCAUGGGUUUAUUCACAAAGCGAAAGAAGCACGUCAUGUUAGAAAAUCAAAUUUUUGACAUGUUUGAACCCUAUGAUAAUGAACCUUAUAUUUGAAGUUAUUCGAACUGAUUUUUUUUUAAUUUAUGUUACAAUUCUCCACUAUCUUUUAAAAAGAUUAAAAUGAUCGUUGUUAUCAGUUUACAUUUUUGUAGCCUGAUCGGACGUAACACUAGCUGCAACGAAUAAAAUGUAUUUUGAAUAUUUUUCAAUUAAGGUGGUAUGGGUGUCUUCCGCCAUCUUGGAUUGUUAAAAAACAGAAAAAACCUUUUGGUCUAGGUUUUCUAUCAAGUUAGCAAAAUUUGAUACAGGAAUGCAGAUAAUUAAUGUGAAUUUUAAUUUAAAAGAACCAAUUCAAAAGAAUAUUACUUAUAAAUAUUAAUAUUUUUACAAGUGUAGAUUAUUUUUCGUUGUUUUAAAAUAUUUUUAAAUUGGCAUUUUAUGGGGAGGUAACUCUAAAACAGUGCAUUUUCUGACGCAAUCUACAUGGAAUUUUCCUAUUUUGUAUUUUAGCCGGAAAAAAACGUAUGGUGUCCCUAUCUUUUCUUUUGAUAUUCUCAAAGCAUUGUCUGAUUAGUUAUCAAAGGUACCAGGAUUAUAACUUUUGACGCCAGACGCACGUUUCGUCUAUAAAGACUCAUGUCUCAUCUGAAAGCUGUCUUUUGAUAAUUUAUUUUACAAUUCUAUCAUUUCGUUUAGUUUCUAAUCACAAAAUGGUUUUUUUUCCUGUAUAAUUCAUACAAACUGUGUCAUUUUGUCACAACCUGUAGCUUGAAAAAAAGGGCGGUGACCUAUCAUUUUUAUUAUCUUUUUGAACAUAUAUCACUAGAUACUACGUUUUGGCAAAGUAUGAACAAAUUCUAUUAUUUUUAUUUUAGAUCCCCAUACCACCUUGAAAACCAAGUCAUGUGGAAAUGAGAUCAAUGAGAAUUAUUUCCUAUUUUAGAAUAUAUACUUUGAAUGAUAAAACCAUCGAAAUCACAGCUAUUGCUAUUACUAAUCAUUAUUAUUGAUCCUUACUUUGUAGUGUGUUAAUGGCUGCAGCCUUACAAAAUUGUGGUGUCUGUGACCUCCGUCACAUCACUAAACCAUCUAUAGUCUGGUGUACAGAAUGUGACGAGGGACUAUGUACAGAAUGUCAGGAUCAUCAUAGUUUGUCUAAGGCAUCGCGAAGCCACAGUGUGAUACUUUUUGCCGCAUACCAGAAACUACCUGCUGAUGUACUGAAAAUUACUCAGUAUUGUACCAGUCACGAUAAAAAGUACCAGUUCUAUUGCCAGAAGCAUGAAUGUCCCUGCUGCAGCACAUGUAUCGUGGAAAGCCACAAAGACUGCCGGGACAUUGUCGAAUUAGAUGAUAUCAUGUCUAACGCCAAAACCUCCUAUGCCCUGAGCGAGAUAGAGGAAACAUUAGUUGAAGUAGCAGAAAAUCUAAAGACAAUUCGUCAGCAUCAACAGAGCAAUCAGGUGACUUUGAAAGAAAAGAGAAAGGAAAUCCAAAAAGAAGUAAAGAAAACUAGAAUGAAGAUCAAUAACCACCUCGACAAACUACAAGAAGAUUUAAUGAAACAACUCAACGAGCUCGAAGAAAAAGAAAACUCUAAAAUAUGUCAGUUAAUGUCCUCGCUAAAAAAGAAAGAAAAGAAAUAGGAGAAUGCCAAAAUAGCCUAUUGAACAUCAAGAAACACGCAACAGAUCUUCAAAUGUUUCUCUCAAUUAAGCAAAUAGAAGAGGACGUCUAUAGCAAAGAAAAAGAAUUGCAGGCUCUUGUAGAAAGGCAAGGAACAGCAUACUCUUUCAUAUCAGAUCAACACCUCUAUCCAGAAUAUCAUAUCCGAUAUCAGAAGUUUUGGGGAAGUGCGUAUUGAAUCUAAUCCAUGCGACAUAGUUCUGAUCAAGAAGAAGGCCAGACAAGCCCAAUUGAUGAUUCCAAUCGUUCCAACAAAAUCUAUAGAAAAUAUAAAGCUAACGAUACACAAGUCCAUCGACACUCAAGGAAGUGCUACGUUCACGGAUGUUGCAUACUUCCAGAUGAUAGAUUGGUAUUUACUUACUACUUUGCCAAACAAUUAAAAGUUUUCAGUGAUAAAGGAUCAACAGACUUUGAGAUCAAGAUGCCGAGUUACGCGUUUGAUAUAGUAUACAUUAGAGAAGACAAUACAUUGGCUGUAUCAUCUAUAUAGUCCACGUACCAUUACCAUAAUAAACCUGGAGACAAAACAAAUGAUGAAAUCAAUUGCAGUGGAUUCGGACAUUUAUGGCAUAUCACUGAAAGAAAAUCAGUUGAUUUAUUCAGGGAGAGACAAAGGUAUACGAAUGAUCGAUUUAAACGAUGAGUCUAUAAGUGACUUAGUCCGAGAAGCAAUGACCAGUGUUUGCUACACUGCAACUUUUAGGGACAAUAUAUAUCAUACAAACAAUCAAAAAAACACUGUGACAUGUUAUAACCUACAAGGUAAACUACAAUGGACAUUCCAUAACGAAAGCGUUCUUAAUACUCCUCAUGGCAUUGAUGUAGAUAAUGAUGGUAAUGUGUUCGUGGUGGGGCACAUAUCGAACAACGUUGUAGUUAUCUCCUCUGAUGGAAAAAGACAUAGAGAACUAUUGACCGUAAGUGAUGGUCUUGAUUUUCCUAUGACACUUCAUUAUAGUGGAACAACGAAUCAGUUGCUUGUCGCGAACUACAUCAAUAGCAAAGCUUUUUUGUUAAAUUGUACCUGAAAAAAUAACAGUGUGAAGUGCUGUCUCUUUGGAUUAUUAUAUGAAAUAAUUAUAGACAAUAGACAAUAUCUAUUUGCACAAUUAUAUUUACAAUAAAUGGUUAUGGUAAUGCAGUUAAACAAUACAAUAUCCACAAUGAACUGUAUGUAACAACUAAUCAUAGUUUUUAUUAUAAAACAAUGAUGAUGUGUAAAGUAAAGUAUAUUAAAAAAUCCUUGACAGGAUUUAAACGAUGUAUUGUGUUGUUUGGAUAGACAUUCAAUAAAAAAAAUUCGAAAUUAAUAAUGGAUUAUAAUAGAUUUUGAAAAUGAUUUUUCGCUCGGCCAUGUGAGCAUUUCUAAUCACUUGAUGCUAUCGCUAGCAUCGUCCGUCCUUAUUAUUUACCGUCAGAAUAUAGGAUACCAUAACUUGACAAAACAAUUCAAAAAGAACUUAUAUUUUUAGAAACGAUCCUAGUAAACUUAUCAAUCCGUUAAUUAAACUUAUUCUUAUAGGUUAACAAUUCAACACUUUAAUUAUAUCUUUGACUAUUGUCUUUAUAUGUUUUUAUAUUGAUUUUUGUCAGUUUAUCAGAAGCAAACUAAAUAUUAUUGUUAUAAACAUUUGUACUGUCAUGGAUCUAUACACUGUCGAUACCUGUAUCUUGGCAAUGCACAAGGUCAUGUUUUCCUCUGACCGUUUAUGGCGUCUUUACACUAAAUCCAUCAGAUAUUGGAUAUAUACUGAUUGAUGAUUUAGUCUUAAAUACAUUAUUUCUUUUAUUAGUUGUUUUUGACUUUGGACUAGUUUUCAGUAACUGAGAGUACUCUCACAUAGUACUUUCUUGUUAAUUUGACCUAUGUGUUACGCUUCUUUGUUAUUUAAUGUUUACUUAUUCAGGUUUAUUUUUGGCUGUAUAUCGGCUUUGCUAAGUUUUUUGUAUUACUAUGAAUAUUCACUUCUUUAUACUAUGAACAUCAAAAUUAUUAAUUUUUUAAAAUAUAUUUCUUUCUCUUAUAAAAUUGUACCCUCAGAUCUGUACUUAGUAUCUUUUUGUUGUACGGAUGUAUAAGUACCCGACCACGUCCAUUUUGUGUUUUUGUUAUAUGUAUUUCUAGCUGUGUCCAUCUGAUGAGUUAUGACUUUUUCAACUGAUUUCUAUUGGUCGUUCAUGUGUUUUACUGUUACACCAAUGUCCCUUUUUAGGGGACGGUUGAGAUCCCGCUAAAAUGUUUCCACUCAUGAUGAAUGUAUAUACCUAUCCCAAGCUAGGAGCUUGUAAUUCAGUGGUUGUUGUUUGAUGCUGUGUUACAUAUUUGCUUUUUGUUCAUUUUUGUACAUCAAUUAUGCUGUUAGAUUUCGCGUUUGAAUUAUUUUACAUUUGUCAUUUCGGGGCCUUUUAUGGCUGACCAUAAGAUAUGCUCAUGGUUGGAGGGCGUAUAGGGUCAUAAAGUUAUAACUUGCUGUCUCAUUUGGUCUUUUGUGAAGAGUUGUCUCAUUGGCAAUCAUAACACAUCUUCUUUUUAUAUAGCUGAAUCAUCAAGAUGUUAAACUGAAUAUAUUUUUAAAGUGUUAACUAUUAUUCUUUUUACAGAAAUUCAAAAAGAUGAUUUUUAGAAAUAUUGUGAUGAGAUAUCUUCAAUCAGAAGCGUUGAUUAUAUGUGGAUUCUUAAAAAUUGUAUAAAUCAACUGCUAAAUCGUGGAUCGCAAUGUUUGCAAUUAUGCAGCAACAUUUAAACCUUUGAUUUUUUUUACUCUUUAUCCUGCUUUUCCUUAUGCUCAAUUGGAAGAUUGACUUCACUAUCUCAUUAAACAAUUGUAUAAAAAUACAAACUUCUCGUUUUGGGUUAUAUUUUUUUUCUUAUUUAAUGACAAACCACACUGAUUCUAUUGCAAAAAUAUACUAAGAUGAUAUCAUCAAAAUGCUGGACUUUUUGUUGAGUUCGGAGGAUUGACUUUCAUCAGACAAUCGGUAUUCAAAUGGAUUCUUAUUGUGCAAUCCUGCUCUUUUCGUUUUUGUGCUCGUAUGGAGCAGAAUAAGUCUAGAACCUUCUAAAAGACAUAAUUAAAAAGCACCUUGGGAACAAACUGUGCCCCUCUACUUGCCGACUUGUUUCUUUAUUAUUAUGAGGCUGACUUCAUGCAGGAACGUCUUAGGAAGAAAGAUAAGAAGUAAGCAAUAUCCUUUAACUUUACUUUCCGCUAUACAGAUGAUGUUCUUUCACUAAAUAAUUCACAAUUUGGUGACUAUGUAGAACGCAUCUAUCCCAUCGAACUAGAUAUAAAAGAUACUACAAAUACAGCUAAGUUGGCCUCAUAGCUUGACUAACAUCUAGAAAUUGACAAUGAGGGUCGGUUGGGAAUAAAACACAAACAAAAAAAAAAAACAAAAAACUUGACGACAAAAGAGAUGAUUUCAGCUUUCCAAUUGUGAACUUUCCAUUUCUAAGAAGCAACAUUCCAGCCGCACCUGCAUACGGGGUAUAUAUCUCCCAAUUAAUACGAUAUUCCCGUGCUUGCAUUUCCUAUCAUGAUUUUCUUGAUAGAGGGUUGCUGCUCACAAGGAGGCUUUUAUACCAAGAGUUCCAAAUGGUGAAGUUGAAAUCAUCCCUUCGUAAAUUUUACGGCCGCCAUCACAAGUUGGUUAACCGUUAUGGAAUAACCGUUUCACAAAUGAUAUCGGAUAUGUUCCUUACGUUGUUACUACAAUCCCCUUCCCUUUCAUGAAUGUGACCUACCGAAUUAGACUAUUUACCGGAUUUGUAAUCACAUAAGCAACACGACGGGUGCCACAUGUGGAGCAGGAUCUGCUUACCCUUUCGGAGCAUCUGAGAUCACCCCUAGUUUUUGGUGAAGUUCGUGUUGUUUAUUCUUUAGUUUUCUAUGUUGUGUCAUGUGUACUAUUGUUGGUCUGUUUGUCUGUUUGUCUUUUAGCCAUGGCGUUGUCAGUUUAUUUUAGAUUUAUGAGUUUGACUGUCCCUUUGGUAUCUUUCGUCCCCCUUUGUGUAAGUUUUUAAUUUUACUUUUAGAUAUAUGGAAGAUGACUAUCAAUUUAUAGCCAAUUUUUAGUCAGGGCUGGCAUCUCAUAUAUCCCUAGUAAACUCGAAAUUAAGGAUACUACUGAUACUAGAAGGACUGCUCCACACUUAAUCUUUUCCUCAAUUUGGACACAGAUGCCAUCAUGGACGACAUCAGACUCAAAUCUACGACACACGCGAUUAUCUCUUCAUAAUUAUCAAUUUGCCAUUUCUCAAGCAGAUACAUACAUUCUGUCCCGUCGAAUGGUGUUUAUAUAUCUUAAUUGAUACGUUAUGCUCGUCCAUGUUUACACUAUAAAGACUUCAUAUACAGGAGUUUUCUCCUUACACAGAAACAGCUCCGAAACGAAUGAUUGAAUGAAAGAUAAAAAAUGAAACUCCUGGUAUAUUUUAGCACAACCACAAAUUUUUUUAUUUAUACGAUAGGUCUCUUUCAACUAAAAUAAUGACAUUUGACCACGUCUUACAUUGUUGUUUACCAUCUACGUUGUCCGGUCUGUUAAGUACCGAACGUGACCUUUUCCAUAAUUUUUUUUUCUAACAUAGCUUUAGACUUGUCUUCAGAACGACAAGUAAUUCUUUUGAAAAAUCCAAUAAUGACUUGCGUCAGGUAAAUUUAACCUAAAUUAAAUACAAACUACAGAGUACAAAACAUUAAAAUCUAUUGGUAUUUUUUUUCUCAUUUAAAGCUUUUAAAAUCAUUUAGGACACAAUUGGUUUCGUUGUAUCAAGAUAUUCCAAAGAAUUACCUCUCUAUGUUCGAUCCUUCCUUUGGGCAAUCCUAGCAUCCUAACAUCCUUAGGUGUAUAAUGUGAAAGAAAAGCACUAAGAAAAACCCAGCAAAAUAAACCCAACGUUACCAUACCCGAUAAAAAAAGUAUAUAACAUAUAUUACAAGGGUGUUACACUAGAUAUCUACAUUACAUAGAUACCAACAGACUGAACAACAAAACCCUCAUGUGUGAAUGUAUGUGCUUCGGAUGGACAAAUAAAGGCAACAGUAGUAUACUGCUGUUCAAAAUUCAUAAAUCGAUAGAGAAAACACAAAUCUGGGUUACAAACUAAAACUAAGGGAAACGUAUCAAACAUGAGAGAACUACGACACACCAAAAGACACAACACCGAUAUGUAACACACACAGAAACGAACUAUAAUGUGCAACAAUGGCCAUUCGUGACUUGGUACAGGGUAGUUUAUGAAAAAAAUGGUGGGUUGAACCUGGUUUUGUGGCAUGCCAAACCUCCCGCUUUAAUGGCAGUUUUAAUUAUAACAUUAAAAGGACAACAUCACACGACAGGUUUACAAUAAAUAAACAGAUAAAUUGGAGAAAUAUAUAGGACAGAGAAACAAACGAAUAAUAGCCAUCAAAAGGUAACAGGUUAAAAAUUAUUUGUAUAAGCAAGAUGCCCGCUUCGUUCACACAAAACUAUGCUCAGAUGUAAAAAGUUUGAAAGCCAUAACAACUACAAAGUUGAAGAUCAAAAGUUCAAAAAAGUUGUGAGGCCAGUGUUAUCCGCCUGGGACAAAAACAUCAUUAUUAUCAAGAAUAAUACAUAGUUUUGCAAACAGUAAAUUUUAUAAAAUGACUAUAUAAUAGAUAUACUUGAUUAAACUGAAGUGGUGACUAGCUAUAGAAUAAAAACGAAUACAUUACAAAAUCACAGCCCUGUUAGCCAUAGUCAAUGCAACGCCCAAAGUGACGUCACAUUUAAAUUUCUAAAACGUGUUCCGAAAAUUAAGAAAGAAUUUAGAUGAAAUUCAAGAUUGGAUUUGUAUUACUUAUCUAACUUAUAUUAAAAACAGUGAAAAUUAUAAUACUAAUUAAUAUUUAAUUGUAGUAGUAAUUAGAUAAAUAAUUAUAUUAUUUAACUUUGUGGGUGUUUCUUUUGAUCAAACUACAAAACAAAUGUAUCAUGUAAAUUUCGUUGAUCCAAAAUUAAAUCUACCAAAUGAACUGGAUGAGUAAUUAUCCCCAACACAACACAACACACAAAUACAACAGAAAAAAAUAUGAUUUACAACUACAAACGUUGAAAAUUUGACAAGAUCCGAUGACAACAACAAACACAACAUCAAAACCCAACAAAUUAAUUUGGGAUGGAAAAGAACCGUGCCACGUCUUAAAGCAAUACGAAUUCACACUCAGCAAAACUGUCACAUUCGGGAAUAAGUCACGUUCCGUUAUAAAAAGAUCAGACGACUUAAUGACAAACCACAAUCUAACACGUGGUAAAAAUGUCCAUAGUUAGUUUUGACAAAGAUACAUCGUAUGGAUCAACCAAUUCGUGAUGGUGUCCGUAAAAUUUACGGAGUGUCAUUUUUAAUCUGUCCUCCUUAUAACUUUGUUGGAGCAGUUUCUGCGUUAGGAGCACACUCCUGUAUAUAAAGUCCGUAUAGUGUGAACAUGCACGAGAAUAAUGUAUUAAUUGAGAUAUGUAAACACCAUUCGAAAGGGUAGAAGGUAUGUUACUGCUGAGAAAUGGGAAAUUGAUAAUUGGGAAGUUAAAAUCGUCCUGUUUAUCAUAGAUUUUCGUGUGAAGUCGUCCAUCUGUGUUAAUAUUGAGGAAAAAGUCAAGGUAUGAAACAGAUCCUUGUUCUACGUAUUUCGCUGUUAAUUACUUCUCUUAUCCUUUACACUGACUGGAACAUACAAGUUUUCAUGAUAAUUACAUGUAAAUGCAAUAAAAAUGGAUGGACAUUUUCAUUCAAGAGAACUUCAUUUAUGUGUCCGUUAUCGACUUUGACCGGAUGACUUUGUUGUAGGUCUUAAUUCACAGCACACAUUUUGCCGCAUACAGAUUUUUUCAUUCACAUGCAUUUUAUAUGAUUUUUGUCCAAAUACACAAAUGUGUAAAAAUCGUAAUUGAAGUAUUUUAAGGACUUACUUGUUAACCUAGCUAAUAUAAUAUGUUUUUUUUUUUGCAGCUUAAACAUUCUAUCUCAAUAUGUCAAAGUUUUCAAAAUUAUAGGCCAAAAACAAAUAGUUUUGCUUUUUUAACAUAGUUUGCUACUUUAGGUAAGUUUCGGUAUCUGAGCGUGUUUGGCCUUCUUUUACUUAAAGUGUCCCUAUACUUUAGAACUCAGGAUCAUUUAUCGUUAUGGUUAGGUUAGGGUUAGGUUUAAGAGUUAUGACUAGUAUUAGGUUUUAGGGUUAUGACUAGUAUUAGGUUUUAGGGUUAUGACUAGUAUUAGGUUUUAGGGUUAUGACUAGUAUUAGGUUUUAGGGUUAUGACUAGUAUUAGGUUUUAGGGUUGGGACUAGUAUUAGGUUUAGGUAUAGGUUAGCGUAAGGUUUGUGGUUUAGGAUAGUGUAGUAUAGCUCUUUAUGGGUUGGGACCCCUAAAGUAAAAGAAGGCCGAGUUUUUGGUUAAAAUGAAAAUAUACGGACAGAAACUUUGACUUAUAAUUCCAUCUAUGUUCCUUCUAGAUCAUGUCUGGGUUGAUAUUCUUUUUGCAGUUUAGAAUUAGAUGAAAUAGUAUUUCUUAUUCAAAAUGUUAUUGUAUUUGACUAUUUUCUAUUGUUUUAAUUUCUUGAUGACAAAUCGGUUUCUCCUCACUACGUUUGUUUUCUAGUCCCUUCUUGACGCAUUUUAUUGAUAAUUGGUUAAACUAUACUUGCUUGUUGGUCUUUUUAAGCUGGCAUUUGUUCUAUUUUUCGUUUUUUUUUUUAAUUUGUCUUCCUAUACUUCAUAAUUGUCAAGAUAAUAACAAAACAAAACUGCAAAAAGAGCUAAGAAUGAGAUAUCUUAGUGGCAAUAAGACCCACACACGGGAUUGUAUGGUUUAUAUGCAAACUGCAGGAUAAUGAAAAGAUGCUAGAUUCAAUAAUUGUGUGUCAAUCUAAUCAAAAUUAAAUUUUUAUUUGCUCCCGUUCUGAUAUGUCGCGCAUCAAGGCCUUAAUGGGAGCAAUUAAAGGAUUACAUUUUAAUUAGAUUGAUUUUGUGUAUUAGACAUAGAAAAAAACGUGUGUUUUUACGGAUAAAAUUUCAGGUUUGCCGUUCGAGAAAUAAAUAAGUUAAAAAAAAAAGUAGACCAUGUAGAAUGCAAAGAUCGAUUAAAAGCAGAGAUGUCCAUAAUAAGUAGGUAUAUUUCUUAAUCUACCCCAAUCGUUAGUGUGUAGAUAAUAAUUAAUCAUAUAUAAAUAAGUCAUGUGAUUGAUAACCUACCUGGUGAAUCAGACGGUAGUGUAGAUAAUUCGAAUCGAAAGGUAAUUUUAAUAUUUUGUUUAAUAUCUAUAGUAUCUUUUUUUCAGUACAGUCAAGCUCCCUAAUAUAACAAGUAUAAUUAUUUCCUAAAUACGUGAAAGUUGUAUUUGUUUUAUUAAUUCACCUGGAAUCUUAUGUAUAUAUAUUGAUGAGUAUCGUUAGUAUGUAUAAAGUAAGGGGUAAUUGCAAUGUCUUCGUUUAUAAAUGUGUUUAAAUUUGAUAGAUGCUUUUGUGUUCUUUUAAAUUGUUUCUUUUAAAAUUCUAGCACGAUGAUGAUUGCUGUACCCAUAUUUUGACUAUUUUAUGCAUUAUGUCUGUUUAGUUCACGCAUCAUUGUAAAUAUAAAGUAAUUUGACGAGACUGUCGUACAAAGUGAGAGGUUUAGCGCUAUAAAACCAGGUUUAAACUACCAUUUUCUACGUUUAAAAUGCCUGUUCCAAGUCAGGAAUAUAUACAGUUGUUGUCCAUUCGUUUUUGAUGUGUUUUGUCAUUUGAUUUUGCCAUGUGAUUAGGUACUUUCCAAUUUGAUUUUUCUCAAAUUUUUUCAAGUUCAGUAUUUUUGUGAUUUUACUUUUUAUAUUAUUUUUGUUAUAGCAAGGAUAUUUGUAUAGAGUUAUGUCAAGCAUCUGACCAACAUACAUGCAUAUUUAUAUAUAAUUUCUAUGUUUCCAUUUGACCAAAGAAAAUAAUAAAAAUCUAUUGCACAUUUUAUGCCUUUAUACAAAGGGAUUAUUGGUAAAAAUAUCCAAAAAUAUCACAAUAACUUUAAGAAAAAAUCCAAAUCACGUGAGAAUAACCAUUCAACAUAUCCUUUCUUGUGAAACAAAAAUUAACUCUAAAUUGUUCAAACAUAAAUAUCUACAAAAUAAGAUCAAGAACAGUAACUCUCUUUUUUUGUUGUUGUGUAUACAUAUAACAAGUACCUAUCUAUUUAUGGAACUUGAAGCUAUAAUUUCGGAUAUUGCAAGUCACAGACUUUUCAAGCCAGUCCGCAUCGGAAAAGAUGAAAAAGAGAAAAGAUCUUUCCUUACUGUUUCCUUUGCCAACAAAGGUCUCGAUGGCAUCAACUGAGGAAAUAUCCUUCAUUAAAAUUAGUUCAAUCGAAAAUACCUCCUUAUUUCAAAGACCAGUAUGUACCAAUCAUUUCUUAUACCUAUACCAAACUAAUUGCAACUAAAAUUUUCAAUCACAAACACGUUUUGCAGGAUCUCGAUAUUGACGACUUCAAGUCUAAACCUCCUGAUUGCACUUGUGCUAGUUCCCAAUUCACAUAUAAUCCGGCUAGCCACGUUAUUACCGGUGACCUCAACAUUGUUAAUAACACUUCUCUACGAAAUGUGUUAAUCAAAAGGUCCGAAAUAUCGUGAGCCUAAAUCCAUCAUUUGGAAAUACAACUUUAAAAUUUUGAUGGAUUCAAUCGAGGAUUAAGCGCGAGAAGGAAGACGUAGACACUCUUUCUGAAUGAGUCAAGGCAGUGAUGUCGUUGAUACAAAUCAGAAUUUAAAAACUGAAUGGGUCUAUCAAUGCCCAUGCUACGUCAAUCUUUAAAGACCCAAAUGUUGGAAAACACUUAUCCUACCUCCAUGACAAAUAUGUUGUUGUCCCCGCAGAUAAAGCCCCAAACAACAUCGUUUUUGUAUGUAAAACUCAUUACAUUAACUGCCUGAUAAACGAAUUAGGUAUUGACAAUUCACUUGGAAACUCAACAUAUACCCUCACGACACUUACCAAAGAGGACAUCCUGGAUAAUCAUAGGUCUGUUCUAUGUUCCUUUGGAAUGUCAACGAAAGAUGAAAAAAUCUGAUCUUCCAUCACUGUAUUAUACCUUAACUACAUAAGUGUCCUUACAAACAACGGUAUAUUGCUGUGCUUCCAAGUGCUCCAUCCAAACUUCUUUCUAAAUUAUUAACAUCUAUAUUAUAAGCAAUCAAACACGGGCUUCAAAGUUAUUGCGAAACUGCCUAUUCUAGAGGUGGCGUGAAUCAGAUGUGGAUACUUAAAAAUUCCAAAGAUCUUUUAGAUCUAACUCUCUUUCCCACUACUUGCCGACUUGUUUCUUUAUUAUUAUGAGGCUGACUUCAUGCAGGAACUUCUAAGGAAGAAAGAUUUUCCGCUAUAUAGAUGAUGUUCUUUCACUAAAUAAUUCAAAAUUUGGUGACAAUGUGGAAUGCAUCUAUCCCAUCGAACUAGAGAUAAAGGAUACUACAGAUACAGUUAAGUCGGCCUCAUAUCUUGACUUACAUCUAGAAAUUGACAAUGAGGGUCGGUUGAAAACAAAACUUUACGACAAACGAGAUGAAUUCAGCUUUCAAAUUGUGAACUUUUCAUUUCUAAGUAGCAACAUUCCAGCAGCACCUGCAUACGGUGUAUAUAUCUCCAAAUUGAUACGAUAUUCCCGUGCUUGCAUUUCAUAUCAUGAUUUUCUUGAUAGAGGAUUGCUGCUCACAAGGAAGCUAUUAAAUCAAGAGUUAAAAAUGGUGAAGUUGAAAUCAUCCCUUGGUAAAUUUUACGGACGCCAUCACGAGUUGGUUGACCGUCAUGGAAUAACCGUUUCACAAAUGACAUCGGAUAUGUUCCUUAUGUCGUAACUACAAUCCCCUUCCUUUUCAUGAAUAUGACCUACCGAAUUAGACUAUUUACCGGAUUUGUUAUCACAUAAGCAACACGACGGGUGCCACAUGUGGAGCAGGAUCUUCUUACCCUUCCAGGGCACUUGAGAUCACCCCUAGUUUUUGGGGGGGUUCGUGUUGUUUAUUCAUGUUAUUCUUUAGUUUUCUAUGUUGUGUCGUGUGUACUAUUGUUUUUCUGUUUGUCUUUUUCAUUUUUAGCCAUGGCGUUGUCAGUUUAUUUUCGAUUUAUGAGUUUGAUUGUCUCUUUUGUAUCUUUCGUCCCUCUUUUUGAAUCUAUUCUCCAUCUCAUUGCAAAAAGUGGAAAUUUAACUUGGUACAUGCAUAAAAUGCUUUAUCAAUUAAUCUCUUUGUCUACCUUACUGAUAUAUUUUUUUUAAUAACAUAGCGCUGAUCAGUUGUAAUGAAACAUGCUAUGUGGAUAGAUAAAGAAAUAUGUGAUAUGAGUGCCAAUUAGACAACUCUCCAUCCAAAUCAUAAUUUAUAAAGGUAAACCAUUAUAGGUCAAUGUACGGCCUUCAACACGGAGCCUUGGCUCACACCGAACAACAAGCUAUAAAGGGCCCCAAAAUUACUAGACGUGCAAAACCAUUCAAACGGGAAAACCAACGGUCUAUUCUAUAAAAAAAAACGUGAAACGAGAAACACGAUUAAAUUACAUAAACAAACGACAACUACUGUACAUCAGAUUCCGUAUAAAGUUUGCUUGUGAAUACACUCAUCAUCGAUACAAUGUACCAGGACUAAAUUUUGUAUAUACGCCAGACGCGCGUUUCGUCUACAAAAGACUCAUCAGUGACGCUCGAAUCCAAAAAAGUUAAAAAGACCAAAUAAAGUACGAAGUUGAAGAGCAUUGAGGACCAAAAUUCUUAAAAGUUUUGCCAAAUACAGCUAAGGUUAUCUAUGCCUGAGGUAGAAAAGCCUUAGUAUUUCAAUGACAUAAGUUUAUAAUUGUUUCUUUUUGUCUAAUUAAUUAUCAAUAAAUAUACAAACCUUGGCCAACUAUAUCUAGUAAUCAGAUGAUCGAGGGACACGACAGUCUUAUAUUAGAUCACAUUCGUACUGUGAACCCUGAGAUAAUGAACGUCAUAUUUGAAGUAAAUCGAACUGAAUUUCUUUAUCGAUGUUCCAGUUCUUCACUAUCUUAAUAAAGAUAGUGUCUUUACGACAAAAGAGAAGAUUUCAGCUUUCCAAUGAGGAACUUUCCAUUUCUAUGUAGCAACAUUCCAGCAGCACCUGCAUACGGGGUAUAUAUCUACCAAUUGAUACGAUAUUCCCGUGCUUGCAUUCCCUAUCAUGAUUUUCUUGAUAGAGGAUUGCUGCUCACAAGGAAGCUAUAAAACCAAGAGUUCCAAAUGGUGAAGUUGAAAUCCACAGCCUUUAAUACAGAGAUUUUUGUUAUAAAAUUUGAAAUAUAGAUUACUCACCUGCUUUUCUAUGAUGUUUUAUUUUUUACAAAAAGUUCUAAGAAACCUCCAGUUCCAAAAGUGCUCCUGCUGAGCCACUAACGUCACUCUGAAUAUCUAUUACCAGUCUGUAUAUCUAUCACGACUCUGUAUAUCUUUCACCAAUCUGUAUGUCUAUCACCACUUUUUUUAUAUAUCAUCCCUCUGUUUAUCUGUCACUACUAUGUAUACCUACCACCACUCUGAAUAUCUAUCACCACUCUCUAUAUCUAUCCCCACUCUGUACAUAUAUCACCACUUUGAAUAUCUAUCACCACUCUGUAUAUCUAUCAUGACCCUGUAUAUCUAUCAACACUCUAUAUAUAUGUCACCACUCUGUAUAUCUAUCAUCACUCUGUAUAUCUAUCAUCACUCUGAAUAUCUAUCACCACUCUGUAUAUCUAUCAUGACCCUGUAUAUCUAUCAACACUCUAUAUAUAUGUCACCACUCUGUAUAUAUAUCACCACUCUGUAUAUCUAUCAUCACUCUGUAUAUCUAUCAUCACUCUGAAUAUCUAUCACCACUCUGUAUAUCUAUCCCCACUCUGUACAUAUAUCACCACUCUGAAUAUCUAUCACCACUCUAUAUAUCUAUCAACACUCCAUAUAUAUGUCACCACCCUGUAUAGCUAUCACCACUCUGUAUAUCUAUCAUCACUCUGAAUAUAUAUCACCACUCUGUAUAUAUAUCACCACUAUGUAUGUAUAUCAACACUCAGAAUGUCUAUCACCAGUCUGUAUAUCUAUCAUCACUCUGAAUAUAUAUCACCAUUCUGUACAUCUAUUAGCACUCUGUAUAUCUACCACCAGUCUUAAUAUCUAUCACCACUCUCUCAAUCCCAUGAUUUGACCAAAUUUCAUGUCGUGGCGCUGUAUAGAUGUGUCGAGGGUUCGUUCUUAUAUAAAAUCUGUCAAACGAUUGUAGUCCAACUAAAACACUCGUUACAUUGUCCUUUUGUAUAUUUAGAACCCGAGAUAAACCUAGAUUUUCUCGAGAAAUGAGAUAAAUCAUUAUCUGAAAUUGAGAAAAUAUAAUUUCUGGAGAUAAAUAAGGAUUAUCUGAAAAUCGCUCAGAAAAAACUAGAUUUUCUAAAUAUUUUGAAAUAAACCGGGAUUUUCUGUAUUUCUGAGAUAAACUAGGAUUUUCUCGAAUUUGAAUUAAGCUGAGAUAAUCUUAAAUAAAAUUGAGAAUGGAAAUGGGGAAUGUGCCAAAGAGACAACAACCCGAUCAUAGAAAAAAAAACAACAGCAGAAGGUUUAUCUGAGAUAAACCGGGAUUAUCUGAGAUAAUCCUAGUUUAUCUUAGAUAAUCUAAGAUUAAUUAAUAAAAGUGGUUCAGGCGUGCCAUAGAUACUUGUGUAAACCUUCAUAUUGCAUAUUUUUAAUAUAAGUUCAAUUAUGAAUCAAGCCGUCGGAUCAAUUUAGUGGGUGCACUUCUGUUUUAAGUCGGGGAGAUUUACAUUAAGUACUAAAUAUAUGAAAUCUGUAAUCGAAUGACAGACAAAUAGAAACUUUUAACGAUUAAAACGUUGUAGAUUUUAGAGACGUAUUGAAUCUUAGUGAAACAAAAGAGAAUCCGGAUCCAAUAUAUAUUUGCUUUUUAAUAAUUUCUAUUUUACUCAGCUAAUUUCUCUAUCUACUUAUGUUUUUGAGAAAAUGCAAGCAAUGGUUAAUAUCGAAAUAAAUAUAAUGACAAUUACUCCUAUGCGUAAGGAGUCAACUGACAAUUUCAAACGUAUUGACUUUUUUGUAGAUCUUAUCUGGGCUGACAUUUUUGCCGGUACCACGAUUUCCCGAGUAUUACAAAAACUAUUUAACAUCCAAAGAACAAAUUGAUAAUUUUCAAUAUUAUGUCCCAAUACAUUGAUACAAAUUGUACUUUCAAUGUAAUAUAAAAAACCUAGUGAAAUUGAUAUAAAUUAAUUGAAAACGCAGAGAUUGAAAGAGAAUUAGAAAUGUCAGAAAUAACUAUAUGUUCAUUUUCAAAACACCGCUAUCGUACUUGUCAGUUGUGGUAUUUGAAAAUUCGCGGCAUUUAUCAGUUUAUAAAUCCGUCACAUGAUUAUUAACCUUCCUGGUAAACCAGACGGGAAUGCAUUAUAUUUCAAAUUAAAAGGUAACUUUUAGAUUUAUGUGGUAUUUCAAAAAUAGAUGUAUUCUUCUCUAGAUACAUUAUCCAUUGUCCCUUAUACGAGGAUGACUUAAAAAUAUGAAAUUUAUAUACGUUUAUUUUUUUCAACUUUCGUUUUUGGCUCGUAUAGAACCAUGAUAACAUACACAUGUUUAUGAUUAUUUAUACCAUGUCCCAGUUCUGGGGCAAACUGUUGUCUUUGAUUUAUAAUUUCAUUGCUAUAAAAAAGGAUAUGAAUGGUACUAUACCAAUACUUGGAUCUUCAUAUACUAACCAUUGUACCAUGGAAGGCUACUAACACAACUUUAAUAAAUAUGCAUGGUGUACAUUGUUUCAAUACCCCAGCUUCUACAAAGGGGUCAGUCGACAAAACACCAAAGAAAUACCACCAAAUCGAAAGAAAAGUCCAAAUCUUGUAAUAAUAAAUAUAUCUUUAUAUGUGAAAAAAAGAACAAAUUUCCAAAUUUUAUUUGACAUAAUUGGUUACAACAUAAUGCAAAGAACCGUAACUCUUAUCCUUUUUGUGUAACAAUAUAAUAUGUAAUAAUAACUAAUAUAGUUUUUAAUUUAAACUCCUAAAAAGAAAAUAGGAAAAAAGAAACUUAACACAUUUGAUUCAAAACAUGUGUUUUCAAUCAAUAUAAUCAUUCAUUUUCGAAUUUUAAAACAUUUUUAAAUGGUUGCUAUGGAAACAAACUAUUUAGUAAAUUCAAAGUUUUAAACUUUUUUCGAAUAGUUUGGGGUUUUGUGCUGUUAACAUUUGUAAAUACCAUAUUGUUUUAUAUGAUUAACAAAAUUUCGAUGGGACUUUAAAUUCCCUUAUUUUCAAUUUCAAAAGUGUCUUUUUCACCUAUAUUCAGGCAAAAUGUUGUAUUGACGGUUACCAUGGCAAUGCACAUUAUACAGGAAAAAUAAUGACAAAAUUUACUCAUAUACCAAUGUUUUAUCAUAUAGGGCAAAACAAAUUAAUUCUGUGACAUGUCAUGAAUCACCCUCUGCAUGAUUUUUAAAAAUACAGGUACUUUAAACCCAAGUCAAAUUGAAUUCAAUUUUAGAAUAUUUACUUUUAAAGAUGGUACCACCGACUGCAAAACUAUUGUUAUGGCUAAUCAUUUAUCAUUGAUUCUAAUUUUGUAGUGUGUUUAAUGGCUGCAUCAUCUCAAAGCUGUGGUGUUUGUGACCUCCGUCACAUCACAAAACCAUGCAUAGUCUGGUGUACAGAAUGUGACGAGGGACUAUGUUCAGAUUGCAAGGAGCAUCAUAGUUUGUCUAAGUCAUCGAGAAGCCACAGUGUGAUACCUAUUGCCGAAUACCAGAAACUGCCAGCGGAUGUACUGAAAAUUACUCAGUAUUGUACCAGUCACGAUAAAAAAUAUCAAUUCUAUUGCCAGAAGCAUGAAUGUCCCUGCUGCAGCACAUGUAUCGUGGAAUGUCACAAAGAGUGCCGGGAAAUUGUCGAAUUAGAGAAUAUCAUUCGUAACGCCAAAUCCUCCAAUGCUAUGUGCGAGAUAGAGGAAUCAUUAGUUGAGAUAGCAGAAAAUCUAAAGAAGAUUCGCCAGCAUCAACAAGUCAAUCUUGUCGAAAUUUAAAGAAAAAAGAAAGGAAAUUGAAAAAGAAACUCAAGAACACUCAGAAUACAAAUCAACAACCAUCUCGACAAACUACAAGAAGAUUUAAUGAAACAACUCAACGAGCUCGAAGAAAAAGAAAACUCUAAAAUUUGUCAGUUAAUGUCCUCGCUAGAAAAGAAAGAAAAAGAAAUAGGAGAAUGCCAAAAUAGCCUAUUGAACAUCAAGAAACACGCAACAGAUCUUCAAAUGUUUCUCUCAAUUAAGCAAAUAGAAGAGGACGUUUAUAGCAAAGAAAAACAAAUUGCAGGCUCUUGUAGAAGGCAAGGAACAGCAUACUCUUUCAUAUCAGAUCAACACCUCUAUCCAGAAUAUCAUAUCCGAUAUCAGAAGUUUUGGGGAAGUGCGUAUUGAAUCUAAUCCAUGCGACAUAGUUCUGAUCAAGAAGAAGGCCAGACAAGCCCAAUUGAUGAUUCCAAUCGUUCCAACAAAAUCUAUAGAAAAUAUAAAGCUAACGAUACACAAGACCAUCGACACUCAAGGAAUACUAUUUUCGGAUGUUGCAUACUGCCAGAUGAUAGAUUGGUAUUUACUUACUACUUUGGCAAAAGAUUAAAAAUAUUCAGCAAUAAAGGAUCAAAAGACUUUGAGAUCAAGAUGCCGUAUUACCCGUUUGAUAUACUAUACAUCAGAGAAGACAAUACAUUGGCUGUAUCAUCUAAUAGUCCAUGUACUAUUACCAUAAUAAACCUGGAGACAAAACAAAUAAUGAAAUCAAUUGCAUUGGAUUCUGACAUUUAUGGCAUA